rnacentral:lncRNA from 1 species
UAAUCUUGGAGUUUAUUUCUUUCUUAUUUUUUAAUUUCUAAUUUUUGAUUUGUUUCUCUUUCUUUGGAUUAUCAGGAGAUGUUCUUGAUUAAGGGGAUUUCUUUUUCUUUUGUUUUGUGUUUUGUGAUACUACUCAUCCCGAUUUAUCUUAAAAGAUAAAUUGUUAAGUGAAUUGGGAUUAAAUGAACCUGAAUAAGACAACGAAUAUAGGGAUUUCAUACUAUCGAUCCCCACAAUUUGGGAUCGAUAAUUAGUUGAUUGAUUGAAAAUUUUAGAUAUUAUUCAUCUAUACACAUAGUAUGAUCUGGUUAUUCUAAUAUUGUUUCUGAAUUAUCAAUGGUGUUCUUUUCGAUUUUCUCUCAUUCUGGUUCUGUUUUGUGUUUUUUUACUCUGGCGAUAUGAUUUUGAGAAUUUAGAGUGAAGCUUUGCCUUCCUUAGUUUAGUAUGGAGGCUCAAGAGGAUUAAGAAGAUUAAACUAAAUUUGUCCAAAUAAAAGGAUAACGUAUUUUUUUCAACUAGCUACUAAACAUAUCGCCUAUGGAUGUGUACCCGUUUUAAUCAUUGCAAAUGUGGUAUCUGAAUCUGCAAAAUACUUUACAACGUCAAUUGGGCAAACCAAGUGCUUUUGUCCUCGCUAAGUUUGAUAUUUAACUUUUGUCACCAUUUUAAAAAGUUUGCAAAUAUAGGUCAAGCUGAAUAACUUCUCCUUGUUCCUCCUCUUUCGUUUUCCUCCUCAUCCUUCUUGCUUCUCAAUGUCUUCAUUGUUGCAGUUUAGAACGAAAGAAUGUGAUCGAACUUUGAAUAUCAAGAUGAAACACAAGAUCCGCAAUACGUAGUACUUACAAGCCUAGAAUCUCAUGUAAAAUGUGCCAUGAAUUGGCUGUAUAUAUAUGUUUUAUUUUCGCAACAUAUAAUGACGAAAUUAAAUAAGAAGUACGUAUACAUAAGGAGGUGUUUUCACUAUACUUUGCUACAGUAAGAGGGACCUCUAACUCCCAUCUCCUAUAACCUUUCGAAUAACAUUAUAAGAUUUUUCCUCUCUUGAACAACGCAGGUAAGUUCUAACAAUUCGAUAAGACUUGUGAACAAUUAAAUAUGAUAGGAGAAUCAAGUUAACUAUACCAAAGUUAUGAUUUGCUUUCAUGACUUGUGAACAAUUGAAUACGAAAAGUUUUGCCAAUUCGACAACUUGGACUUGCGAAAGAUUUAACAAAAUAUAUAGAAGAAUGAAGGUUAUACCAAAGUUAUGACCCACCGUCAUAACUAAUUGCCAUGAACAAUUGAACAUAGGCAAGUUCAGCCAAUAUCUGAUUAGACUACUUAUGAACAAUAAGAUAUAUAGAAGAAUACCAAAGUUAUAAUCUGCCAUCAUAACUUGUAAAUGAUUGAACACACAUAAGUUCUGCUAAUCUGGCAAGAUUUGUGCACGAUUUAACAAUCUAAGACUAUGAAGAUUGUACCAAUAUUUUGUCCCAAGCAAACUUAUGAAAGUGUAAUUUUUCAUUCUUUUGUAUGGCAUAUAACUUGUGAAAAAGUUUAUGGCCUAUUUGUAGGGGCAGUUCAGUGGACUUAUGUCACGGCCCGAAAUCCCAACCGCAGGGCCGUGAUGGCGCCUAACACCGUAUGCCAGGCAAGCCAACACAGCAGAUGUUACAAGAUAAGGAAAAGCAAUAAAACACAGAUACCGGUCAAUAACGUAACAUAAACCACCCCCAAGAUCUGGUGUCACAAGUACAUGAGUGUCUAAAUUCAGCUAAAUACAAAGUUUGAAAGAAAUACAUCAUUGUCCAAAAUAAAAUGGAAAUAGUACAAUAGAAAUAGGAAGAUGAAUCCAGGGUCUGUGAACGGAAUGUAGCUCUACCUCGAAUAACUGACUGGUAGCUGGUAAGUACCUCUCGGGACUGUGCUGGUACCAACGUCAAAAUCUGCACAAGAAGUGCAGAAGUGUAGUAUGAGUACAACCGACCCAAUAUACUCAGUAAGUGUCGAGCCUAACCCCGAUAAGGUGGUAACGAGGCUAAGAUAAAAUACCUACUAAAACCUAUGCAGAUACCCAAUAUAAAGCAACAGAAAUAACAAGUGAAGCAUUUAAAAGAAAUAACGGGGUGAGGGAAUAUAAAAGGGAGCAACAAUCGAAACAAUAAGUACAGAAUCACCAAGUAAGUCUCUUUCUGAAAUGAGCAACGAAGCAGCCAAACAAAAUUCACAAUCCAAGAAUCAAGUAAAGCAACGAAUUAUCCAAUUGCACGACAUCAACCUUGUGCUUUCACUCUCAUCCUCACCAUAUAAUAUAAAUAUAAUAGCACGGCAUCACCCUUUGUGCUUUUACUCUCAUCCUCACCAUAUAAUAUAAAUGCAAUGGCACGACAUCACCCUUCGUGCUUUUACUCUCAUCCACAUAUGAUAAUGAUAAUAAAGCAACCAAGUGCACGGCAUCACCCUUCGUGCUUUAAUCCUCACAUUCACUCAAUCAAUGAUAACAAUAUAUAAAUAUGGCAUGACAAGAAUUACAUGCAAUUGGAAUUGUUUUACCCCUGCUUUGAUGUGUUUUUAGGUGUUCUGAAUGCCGAAAGAUGACCAAUCGAGCUUAAUUGUUGAAGUUUGUUAUGUAGGAAGCCAAAAGUGAAGAAUAGAGGUGAUUUGAGCAAUAAUGAAGCUAAAAGGCAAUUUUUGAAGAAAAGGAAAAUCGGACCAGGCAGUAAAGUAACUUAAAAAAUCAUAGGGAAAGCACAAAAAAAUCUGAAAAACACAACCAGGCCCUGUGCGAAGCACAGCUAUAGCACAAGGGCAAAUUUGCAUGCGUUUUAUCUUGAGGGGCAACUUAGUCUUGGCUUAGGGACGUGAUAUAAAAGCUUUCAACCCUAAUUUCAGCCACACACUUGACCUGAGAAGGCAAGAAACACCAUUGUUGAAGAAAAUUUGAGCCCGAAAGAUCCUCAAGUUCAUUCAAGAAGACAAAUCGAAGAGUUUCUCUCUACUUUUCUAUCUUUAUUUCUAUGAAUAUUGGUUUGACAAUGGUUUAUGUAUUUUUGAGUAGUGUUAUGAGUAACUAAACUCAUUAAUCUAAGGUUUGAUGGAACCUAUUGGAAGAUAAUUUUCUACUGCAUUUAAAAUAGAUUUGCCUUUGAUUUUUCUCUACUUGUUCAAUUAUAUUUUUAUUGUUAUUAAUUGAAGAGCUCUCAAUUAACUGUACCUAUUUAGUGUGUAUAUUGCUCGAGAGAGAGAGAGUAUAUAUUUAGGUAGUUGUUGAAUAAUAUCACUCCUAACAUAGUUGAGAGAUCGAUACGGAGAGUUUAAAGGCGGGAUUAGAGAUAACGAAGACUUGGUGUGCUCGUCGUGAGCGGUAAAUUAGUGUCAGCUAGCGUAGUUCGAGAGAAUACGUCUAGUAAAUUGUAGUAGUUGCUAGAGAAAGAGCUACGACACUUAAAGUACUCACGAUCGGUAGAGAAUAUUUAGGCGAAUUUAUAGGAACCGUAGCAGGGAAGAUUCCAACAAUAGGGGAAAUCAUAAGCUUAGACUUUUCCAAAUCUUGUCUGCAAUAUUUGUUUUGUUAGUUAUAAAUUACUGCAUUUUUAAUUACUUUGAUCGUAGUUAAUAAACUCUUAAAGUUUUAUAUAAUAUUUCUGAAGGUUGAUUACUUGAAUUUGUACAAAACUAUUAGUUGUAAUUAGCACUUUAUUUUUCCUGUGCGAUUUGACUCCGGACUUAUAAACCGGAUUAUAUUUUCAACGACCGCUAGACCUCUUAGGAGGCAUAGUUGGGCGUGAUCAAAUUUUGGCGCCGUUCCCGGGAAAAGCAACAAUGUUACUAAUUAUAGCUAUAAGAAUUGUUAGGAUUCUUAGUUUAGUCAAUUUUCUGUAUUCUUAUUCAUUACAUUAAAAUACUAACAUUUGUGGUCUUGUGUAUUAUAUGUGUAUGCCUAGAAACUCUUCAAGAACUGGUGAAUUGUUUGAAGUAUUACCGAAUACUGAGAAAGCUUUCGAGGAACUAAAUCGUGCAAACAAGAAGGACAAACAACAGCAUCACCCAAGAGAACAAAUUGAACCAUACAUGGGUGAUGCUUUGGAUAAUCAAAACAAUCGAAAUAAUAUGAAUGACCUGAAUAAUGAGGGUGUGGCACCUCUUGUGCCAGAAGCAGCUUUGUGUGAUUGGGCAUAACCCACCGCUGAAAAUUUGGCAACUGCAAUUGCAGUCCCUCAGAUACAAGCGGAGUCAUUUCAAAUCACAAACAACAUGCUACAUCUGCUGCAAAACAAAGGGCUGUUCUCCGGGUCUUACAUUAAAGAUCCACAACAGCAUCUAAAAACUUUUAUGUCAAUUUGUGUCAUGCAAAGGCAACCGAAUGUUACACCGAAAGCAAUAAGACUAUUCUUGUUUCCAUUCUCAAUGAUAGGAGAAGCCCAGACUUGGCUUAGUUCGCUCCCUAUAAAUUCCAUCACCACUUGGGAGAAAUUAGUCAAGCAGUUUUUGAAUAAAUUCUACCCACCCAAUAAGACUGCCAAGCAAGUUGAUGAGAUAUUAAGCUUCAGGCAAAAACCAGCUGAAACAUUAUAAGAAACGUGGGAGAGAUUCAAAGGUAUGCCAGUUAAGUGUCCACAUCAUGGUAUUCCAGAUCAGAUGUUGGAACAACAGUUUUACAUGGGAUUGACAGAUAGCUUGAAAGCUAAUGUUGAUGCUUCAGCAGGUGGAGCAUUUUUGAGCAAGUCAUUUAGAGAGUGUAACGUCCUACUAGAUAAAAUGGCUCAAAACUCAGGAUAGAUGACAAGAGACUCCACAAUCACCCCUAUAGUUCACUCAGUAGCAUUGGACCCGAACAAUUCCAUAGCCGAGAAUAUGGCCACUCUGAUGACGUAAAUCCUCACCAAGAAGAUUGAUGAAUCAGGCCAAAAGUAGGUACACAUAGUUGACACGACUAAUGGGGGAUUAUGUACACCAUGUAUUAACCAACCAUACGUGUGCUCGUGGAGUGGUGAAAAUGACAACUAAAGCUAUCAGGAGAAUAUGAACUAUGUGGGCAACUAUGGAGGCCAGAGGCAAGGUGGUCAGAAUUGGGGGCAACAGAAUCAUUAGUAUAGACCAGCACAACAACAAUACAAUAACCCCAACAAUCCUGGAGUUAUGCGACCACAGGGUCAAGUAGUGCCUUACCAAAGGCAACAGGGAUACAGUCAGCAAAAUCAGCAGCUAGCUUAUCAACAGCAUCAACAACAACAACUAGUGAGACAAGAUGAUGGGAUGUCUGAAAUUAAAGGAAUGUUGCAACAACUGAUUGGGUCUAAUGGAAAAAUGUGAGAGAAGGUGAAAGCACAUGAGUCGACGAUAAAAGGAAUUGAGAUUCAAGUAGGGCAGAUAUUUAUGGAUCUGAAUUAUCAUCCCCAAGGGACUUUAUCUGCAGACACACAUGUCAAUCCGAAGGAGCAGGGCCCGAAUCAGCUUAUGGCUAUGAGUUUGAGAAAUGGUAGAGAUCUUGAUUAAGAGCAAGAAAUUGCUCAUGAAACCUGAUCAACUGUAACACUUGUGCCAGUGCCAAUUGAGGUAGAUGAGUCAAUUGAGCUAACAAAAGUGAGAGUGCAGCCAGCCCAGAAGGAAAUAAAUAAGGAAAAAGAGGUUGCGGAGGAGACUGAGAAAGUGCAAGAGAAGGCAUUAGAAAGAGUGUCUGAGCAAGAUCUAACUCAAGCCACAGGAAAGAAGCGAGCACCAGCACCCUUCCCGCAGAGGUUGGCCUAAUAUCAUAAGGAUGAGCAGUACAAAAAAUUCAUGGAAAUGCUGAAGCAAAUUCAGGUAAACAUUUCUCUAAUUGAUGCUUUAAGGGAGAUGCCCAGUUAUGCAAAAAUGAUGAAGGACUUGAUGUCUCGUAAGUUCUACUUUCAAGACUUGGAACUGUCAUAUUGACACAGAUCUGUAGUGUAGUUAUGUCAAGACCUAUAGCUGAGAAGUUAUCCGACCCUAGAAGCUUCACAAUUCCAUGCACCAUAGGUAGCUAUGCAUUUUCCAAAGCAUUGAGUGAUUUGGGAGCAAGUAUAAAUCCGGUGCCAUUGUCUAUCUAUAAAAAGUUAGGCAUUGGAAGAGCAAGGCCCACAUCCAUGUUACUGCAGCUAGCUGACUAAACAGUGAAAAGGCCAUUAGGUAUAUUUGAUGAUGUACUUGUGAAAGUUAGAAAAUUCGUGUUUCCAGUAGAUUUUGUCAUUCUGGACUGCAUGGUUGAUGAGGAGAUUCCCAUAAUUUUGGGAAGGCCAUUCUUGGCCACAGGGAGAGCUCUAAUUGAUUGUGAAAUGGGGGAGCUGAAGAUGAGGCUAAAUAAUGAAGAAAUAACAUUUAAUGUGCAAAAGUCUAUGCGGCGACCCAGUGAGUUAGCAAAUUACUCUUUGUUAGACACGGUGAAUGUAAUCAUGGAGGAAGAUGAUGAGGCUCUUAAUGCAAAUGACCCUCUAACAGCCUGCCUUAUGAACUUAGAAGAAGUAAAUGGUGAGGACUUGGCGGAAUGGGUGUUGGCUCUUUAAGGGCAAGGGUACUGGAAAAGAGAGCUCGAAUUCGAGCCUUUACACUCGAAAGAAUGAAAGACCCCUCCAGCAAGUGGUGGCAGCUUUUCCAUUACAUCAAUCUUGGCACAGUCCACCUCAACGCCCUUACUUGACACUAGGUGUCCCAAGACUAUACCUUUAUGUACCAUAAAAUGGCAGUUUUCCCAAUUUAGCACCGGAUUAGUCUACAUACAUCUCCGCAAUACUCUUUUCAGAUUUCUAAGGCAAUCCUCAAAUUCGAGCUCUCUUUUCGAAUGUUCAACUAUAUAAUAUUUUUUCGAUCGGCAACACUCUUCACUUCUGAAAUGAAGGGGUUGUGGAUUGACUUGGAAAUCUGUGACCGAAAAGGAACGAAAAACCAAGUUGCCGAUCACUUGUCCAGGCUUGAAGGUGCUGAAAUGAAGGUUGAAGUGGAAGAGAUCAUGGAGACUUUUCCAGAUGAAUAACUGUUGGCCACGAGCCUUGAGGUAGCACCAUGGUAUGCAUAUAUUGCAAACUACCUAGCAAGCGGUAUUGUUCCCUAUGACUUAUCUUAUGUGUAGAAGAAAAAGUUCUUUCAUGAUGGUCGCAUGUAUUUCUGGUAUGAACCAUAUAUGUAUCGGAUUUGUAUUGAUAACAUGAUCCGGAGAUGUAUUCCCGAGAUAGACCAAGCUUCUGUUUUGCAGGCAUGUCAUGCUUUGCCUUAUGGAGGUCAUUUUGGAGGAGUAAAGACAACUGCUAAAGUUUUGGAGUCGGGCUUCUAUUGGUCGAUGUUGUUUAAAGAUGCACACUUUUGGGUAAAUAGCUGUGAUGAAUGUCAAAGGAGGGGGAAUAUUUCCCGUCGACAUGAGAUGCCCAUGAACCCAAUUCAAGAAGUGGAAGUAUUUGAUGUAUGGGGAAUUGAUUUUAUGGGACCAUUUGUCAACUCAUACAACAACAAGUAUAUACUCGUAGCAGUGGUCUAUGUCUCGAAAUCGGUAGAAGCUGUAGCACUUCCAAUAAAUGAUGCAAAGGGAGUUAUUGGUUUUCUAAGAAAAAAUAUCUUCACCCGAUUUGGAACUCCAAGAGCAAUCAUCAGUGAUGGAGGAACUCACUUCUGCAAUCGAGCCUUUGCAAAGUUGCUGGAAAAAUAUGGUGUAUGCCAUAAGGUUGCCACUCUGUAUCACCCACAAACAAGUGGGCAAGUUGAGGUAUCGAACAGAGAAAUCAAGAGUGUUUUGACCAAAACUGUAAAUGCUACUCGGACUGAUUGAGCGAAAAAAUUGGAUGAUGCACUAUGGGGCUACCGCACUGUAUUCAAAACUCUGAUUGGUAUGUCACCGUACAAAUUGGUAUUUGGAAAGGCGUGUCACUUACCUGUGGAGCUAGAGCAUGGAGCUUUUUGGGCAUUAAGACAAUUAAAUCUUGACAUGGAGGUCGCUGGUACGAGUAGAGUCACAGAGCUUCAUGAACUUGAUAAGUUUCAUUACCAUGCUUUUGAAAGCACCAGGCUAUACAAGGAAAGGAUGAAUAUCAUGCACGAUAAGCACAUUCUAGAUAGGAACUUUAAACCCGGAGAUCUGGUAUUGUUAUACAACUCGAGAUUGAGAUUAUUUUCGGGUAAGCUGAAAUCUAGAUGUUCGGGACCAUUUAGAGUUGUGCAAGUAUUCCCAAGUGGAGCUAUAGAAAUUGAGUUCGAAUGUGGAACUAAUAAGUUUAAAGUAAAUGGGCAAUGAAACACUACCUUGGAAUGAUUGAAGAAAAAAGGGAGAAAGAUGUGACGUACUUGAAAGAGCCCCAAUAUGUGAGCGAAACGGAAUCUUGAAAGCUUGCGUCGUGCCACGACGUUAAAUAAGGCGUUGCGUGGGAGGCAACCCACGACUUUAUGUCAUUAUUAGUAAUUUUUUAUUUGUGUUAGGGUAAAUUAAUUUUAUUUGGUUAGUUUGUUUGUUUUGUAGGAUUAAUACACAGCUGCGAAGUCCGCAGAGCAAAUAAGUUCACCCAAGAAAGGAUUAGCUCAAAAGUUUCACUAAUUAUUGUAACUGUUAAAAAAAAAGAAAAAAAUAAAUCUGCGUAACAGUGUGCUAAGAGAGUAUAGCACAGGGAUAGCACAACAAGGUAAAAUGUUUUUUCCCUUAACAUUGUGCUAAGAGAGUAUAGCACAGGGAUAGCAUAACAAGGCAAAUAUUUUUUCCCUUAACAGUGUGCUAAGAGAGUAUGGCGCAGGCAUAGCACAAUACGGCGAAAACGUUUCUUCCCUUAAUAGUGUGCUAAGAGAGUAUAGCACAUGGAUAGCACAGCAGGUGAUGCAGAUGUGGAGGACGUCGGUGAUUCUGAUGCUGGCGACUCCGACUACACUACUUAGAGGGAGAGAGAGAGAGAGAGAGAGAGAGAGAGAGAGAGAGAGAGAGAGAACUUGAAGUAAAGAGAAUUCACUCCUUGGAAAGUUGUAUUUUGUGAGAGUCACCUAAGUUGUUCUUGAACCUCCUUUCUGAGCUUAUGUUUGUACAUUGACGGUGAAACUGAGUGACUUGUAAAUCCCAUGUAUAUUGUGUGAGGAUUUUUUGUUGUGCAUUUUCGUGUAUGCAUGUCAGUCUAGAACUUGCCCUGCCUGUUGUUUGAGGAGAAAUCUUAGGAAGUUUUGAUCCUUAGAGUGAUAGUAGGCCUUCUUUGAUAUAAACCACUUGUGUCUAAAUUAGCCUACCAAUUGAAUGAAUAUCCCUAGUGUCCUAAUUUGCGCCUAUUAACCUUUUUUUUUUUGCAACCCAUGUUACAAGCCAUGUCCAUUUUGCAUUAAUCUCUCUUGUUAACCCAUCUUCCCCUUAGCUACUUUAGGUUGUGUGAUUGGACAGAAGUUGUGGUUAUGAGAAAAUAUUAUUGGAAACUCAAAGUUGCACCAAAGAAUGAAAGUUAAGUCCCUUGAUACUCCUUUUUUGAAGAUCCAUUAUUAAAAAAAUGUAGCUGGGAAAAAUAAGAGGGAGACAAAAGAAAAUAAUAAGUUGGUACUUCGGUGUUCGAGCUGCGGAAAAAAAAUAUGGAAAGUGUCUACUGAGAAAAGAGUGGGAAACAUAGAUGUUAGUGAUGCUUAAAGUAUUUAGGGGAAGAUUUAGUCACUAUAUAACCAAAAGUGCCCAUACCUUACCCAAGCCAACAUUACAAGCUUUGAAUAGUCCUACUUGACUGUGGAUUGAGACUCCUACAUUAGUGGAUAAUGACAGAAUGGGAAAGCUUAUGGUACUGUAUGUGUUGCAUGUGAAAUUCCUUGAUGAGUGUGAGUGUUUUGUUUUAUAUGCCCUAGUGCUUGUAAUUUGUUAUCAUAGAUGUGUGUUUUGGGAGAAUUUCUUUGUUUGUGAGGUACAAUGGGAUUUGUGAGGAGCAAAAGUAUCGAGUUUCAAUAGAUGAAUCUGAAAAAAAGAAAGGUGUUCACUCUUGUGGUUAAUAUCUCUGAAUAAUUGCUUGACAGGGAGUUUGAAUGAGCUUGACUGUUACUUUGUGAUUUGUCUGUGAUAUCAUGUGUUUGCUCGAGGACAAGCAAAAAUCUAAGUAUGGGUGGUGAUAAUAUGCUAGAAUUACAUGUAAUUGGAUAUGUUUACCCCUACUUUGGUGUGUUUUUAGGUGUUUUGAAUGCUGAAAGAUGACCAAUCGAGCUUAAUUGUUGAAGUUUGUUAUGUAGGAAGCCAAAAGUGAAGAAUAAAGGUGGUUUGAGUAAUAAUGAAGCUAAAAUAAAAAUUUUGAAGAAAAGGAAAAUUGGACCAGGCAGUGAAGUAACUUCGAAAAGCACAGGGAAAGCACAGAAAAAUCUAGAAAACACAACCAGGCCCUGUGCGAAGCACAGCUAUAGCACAAGGGCAAAUUUGCUUGCAUUUUAUCUUGAGGGGUAACUUAGUCAAUUGGCUUAGGGACGUGAUAUAAAAGCUUUCAACCCUAAUUGCAGCAACACACUUGACCUGAGAAGGAAAGAAACAUCAUUGUUGAAGCAAAGUUGAGCCCGUAAGAUCCUCAAGUUCAUUCAAGACGAAUCGAAGGGUUUCUCUCUACUUUUUAAUCUUUAUUUCUAUGAAUAUUGAUUUGACAAUGGUUUAUGUAUUUUUGAAUAGUGUUAUGAGUAGAUAAACUCUUUAAUCUAAGGUUUGAUGGAACCUAUUGGAGGAUGAUUUUCUACUGCAUUUAAAAUAUAUUUGCCUUUGAUUUUUCUCUACUUGUUCAACUAAAUUUUUAUUGUUAUUAAUUGAAGAGCUCUCAAUUAACUGUGCCUAUUUAGUGUGUAUAUUGAUCUAGAGAGAGUAUAUAUUUAGGUAGUUAUUAAACAACACCACUCCUAAUGUAGUUGAGAGAUCGAUGCGGAGGGUUUAAAGGCGGGAUUAGAGAUAACGAAGCCUUGGUAGGAUCGUCGUGAGCGGUAAAUUAGUGCCAGCUAGCGUAGUUCGAGAAAAUACGUCUAGUAAAUUGUAGUAGUUACUUGAGAGAGAGCUACGAUACUUAAAGUACUCACGAUCGGUAGAGAAUAUUUAGGCAAAUUUAUAGGAAACGUAGCAGGGAAGAUUCCGACAAUAGGGAAAAUCAUAACCUUAGACUUUUCCAAAUCUUGUUUGUAAUAUUUGUUUUGUUAGUUAUAAAUUACUGCAUUUUUAAUUACAUUGAUUGUAGUUAAUAAACUCUUAAAUUUUUAUAUAAUAUUUCUGAAGGUUGAUUACUUGAAUUCGUGCAAAACUAUUAGUUGUAAUUAGCAUGUUAUUUUUCCUGUGGGAUUCGACUCCGGACUUGUAAACCGGAUUAUAUUUUUAACGACUGCUAGACCUCUUAGGAGGCAUAGUUGGGCGUGAUCACACGACAUCACCCUUGUGCUUUAACUCUCAUCCUCACCAUAUAAUAUAAAUGUAAUGGCAUGACAUCACCCUUUGUGCAUUUACUCUCAUCCUCAUCAUAUAAUAUAAAUGUAAUGGCACGACAUCAUCCUUCGUGCUUUUACUCUCAUCUACACAUGAUAAUGAUAAUAAAGCAAUCAAGUGCACGGCAUCACCCUUCGUGCUUUAAUCCUCACAUUCACUCAAUCAAUGAUAACAAUAUGUAAAUAUGGCACGGCAACACCCUUCAUGUUUUUCACUCUUCCUCACCAAGAAACAAUAAUAACCCAAAGUAUCAAGCAAGGUGGGAAGCAAAUUUCAACUUCAACCGUGGUGCUAGAAUGAGCAAUUUCAACUUUCAAUAUUACUACAACUUCAAAAUAAGCAAUAAAUACGGAAGCGAACAAUUAAAGAGUAACGAUCUAAUUAAGACAUGGAAGGCAUGGCAAAUAAAACAACAUGGUUUAAAUAAGACAAAUUCCACAUGCAUGCUUUAACCUAUGACAAUGUAUAUAUACUCGUCACCUUACAUUUAUGUCGUCCCCACACAUAGUUCAUGUAGCAAAUAGACCAACAAGUCAUAAUUCUCUCAAGUCAAAGUUAACCAUGCCACUUACCUUACUCCACAACAAAUCAACAAUCAAUCACGACUUUGUCUUUCGAACAAGCCUCCAAACCAACCAAAUCUAGUCAAUUAUCGAUCAAACAAAUCAAAAUAAGCUUUAGAAACUAUCCACGAAUAAAAAAGGUUCAAUUUUGAUCAUUUUUUGAAAAAGUCAACCCCGGGCCCACUUAGUCGAAAUCCUAGAUUCGGACCAAAAUCCGAUUACCCAUUCACCCUCGAGCCCAGUUAUAUGAUUUAUUUCAAAAUUCGACCUCAAUUUGAGGUCUAAAUAUCAAUUUCACAAAAUUCCCAAAUUCUACUCGAAACCCCUAAUUUCUACAAUGAAAUUCUUAGAUUUGAUUUUAAAAAUCAUGAAAAGUAAUUGAAAUUAAAUGAAAACUAGUUAAAGAUAGUUACCAAUGAUUUUGGAAAGAAAAGCUCUCAAGAAAAUCGCUUCUAGAGUGUUUGGGGUUGAAAAAUGGUGUAACAUGAGUUAAGUCCCGAUUUUCAAUCUUUUACCCAACUGCAGAAGUCGCUUUUGCGAACACUAGCUCACAAAUGUGAUGUCCGCAAAUACAGGACACUGGUCACAAAUGCGAAUAGUGCAUCAAAUGCACAGAAGUCGCAAAUGCGACACAAACUUCACAUUUGCGAAGGUCCCUCCUUCGGCAAAUGCGAACUAAGCUUCGCUUUUGUGAAGCUGCCCCAAAGUUGCCAGAGCCGCAAAUGCGAGACUCCAGCCGCAUUUACGAUUUCCCAGCCUUUGCAAAUAGGUCCCUUUUUUUCAAAUGCGAAAUUCCCCAGUCCAAGUGCUUAUUGCAAAUGCGAUCACAUGACAGUAAAAACAAAGCUCGCAAAUCCGAGAUCUGCAGGCUUGCACAAGUAACUGUUGAGUACUACUAGUUCAAAAACCAUCCAAACUCAUCCGAUACUCACCCGAAACUCACCCGAGCUAUUUGGGCUCCAUACUGAAUAUGCACAAAAGUGUAAUAAUAUCAUACAAACUUGAUCACUACCUCAAAUCAUCAAAAUAACAUCAAAUAACAAGAAUCGAUCCUCAAAACUCAAGAUUUCAACUUGAAAAUUCAAUUUUCACAAUUUUUCAAAUAAUGCGCCUAAAUGCGCUCGGGUCACCCUGGACCCCAACCAAAUACGUGUACAAGUCUAAAAAUAUCAUACGAAUAUUCCUGAAUCGUCAAAAUAUCGAUCCUGGGUCGUUUACCAAAAAUAUUGACCGUGGUCAACUCUAGCCUCUUUAAAGUGAAAAAUCUCAUUUUCUUCAAAAUUUUACAUAAAAGAUUUUUGAAAUACGACACGGACCACGCAGGCAAAUUAAUAAACAUCAAAUAAAGCUGUGGGAGGUCUCAAAACACUAAAAUUAAGGCUAGUACUCAAAAUGACCUAUCGGACCGUCACAACUUAGUGGUCUAAAGUCAAAAUAUAUUAAAAGGCCUUUAAGCUUGUUUCACAUAAUUCAUAUGAUAAUGAGACACAAAAGAAAUUCACAUGGAAUUAGUCUAGUAGUAAGAGCUUAACCCGAAAUGUAUGGGUUAGACACACAUUACAGUUUCAAACUCUCCCGCAAAUAUAAGCAUGAUAUUUAAGUGAAAAACAGUAGAGAUAUGUAACGACCCAACCGGUCGUUUUGAGUAUUUGUAUGAAAUUUAGUGGUUUAAGGUCUUGAGUAGCUUCAUAUGAUAUAUUACGACUUGCGUGUAUUGUUGGUUUUGCUUUUUGAGAGAUUCAGGGCUUAUUUGGAAGAAUGAUUCUUAUUUUAGAAGCUUUCAAUUGGCAGAGUUGAUCAAGUUUGACUUUUGUGUAUUUGACCUCGGAUCAGAGUUUUAUCGUUCCGUUAGGUCCGGAUAGUUAUUUUGGAAUUGGGUGUAUGCCCGUAAGCUUCUAGAAGGUUUUGGACAUAAUUGGCGAAAGUUGAAAGUUUACAGGUUUAGAAUUUUCCUAAGUUUGAUCAUGGUUUGACUUUAUGGCUAUCGGGUUCGGAUUUUAGUUUCGGGACUUGGAAUAUGUACGUUUUAUUAUUUGUGACUUGUUUGCAAGAUUUUGUGUCUUUACGAGUUUGUUUGACAGGAAUCGGACGCGUGAUUGUAUUUUUAGAAGUUCUUGAAGUUCAUUGUGAUUUUCAUGUGUUUGGUGUCCGAAUCGUGGUUCCGGAUAUUAUCUUGGUGUUUUGAUCACACGAGCGAGUUAGUAUGAUGUUUAUGCACUUGUGUGGAUGUUUGCUAUGGAGCCCUGAGGGCUCGGGUGAAUUUCGGACGCGUUUCAGAGUGUUUGAGGGAGGUUCAUAUUUUGCUGGUGCUCUGGUCUCGCAUUAGCGAGGAAUCGGUUGCAUUUGCGAUCACCGCAUUUGCGAUUUUCUCCUUGCUUUUGCGAAGUCGACUGAGGCCUGCAGACUUUGAUUUUGCAAACUUUGGAUCGCAUUUGCGAUAGAGACCUGGGUUGGGGAAAGGUCGCUUUGUGACCAACUGGUCGCUUUUGCGAAAACGCCAGUGUUCGCAUUUGCGACAUUUUUGUCGCUUUUGCGAUGGUUUUAAAACUUUUCAAGCUUCGCUUUUGCAAUGGCUUCUCCGCUUUUGUGAGGGUUCACAUUUACAAACCCCGGGUUGCAAACGCGACAUCUACAGCUUGUUUAUAACAGAGUAUUUCGGGACUUAGCUUCAUUUUAUCAUAUUUUAAACUCUAGACUCGGUAGGAGGCUAUUUUGUGAAGAGAUUUUCAUAUCAAACUAUUGGGUAAGUGAUUUGGAUUAAUUUUUAACUAUAUUAUUUAAUUAUAUAUAAGAUUUAACAUCAAAUUCAUGAUAAUCUAAAAGAAUAUUUGGGAAUUUUGUUUAUAUUUUGAAAAAUAAAAAUUUGAGAUUUGAGAGUCGAAUUGGACUCGGAUUUGAAAAUAAAAUACAUAUAUGAACUCGUGGGGCUAUGGGUAGUCGAGACCUACCCUUCAACUCGGGUUUUGACCAGCGGGUCUGGGGUUGACUUUUAUUGACUUUUGAGGAAUUGAAUAAAGAUCAUAGCUUUAUGAAUCGUAAUUGGUUUCUCUUGCAUCGUGUGAUAUUAUUAAGUCAUUUUUGUCUAGAUUUGAGCCGAGUGGAGAUGAAUUUUAAAUGAAAAGCUAUUUUUGAGUAUUGAUUUGGCCUAAUUGAGGUAAGUAUCUUGCCUAACUUCGUAUGGGGGAACUACCCCUUAGGAUCAGGUUCGAUUAUACUAUUUGAAUUAUGUGGAAGGCGUAUACAUGAGGUGACGAGUGUGUACACGGGAUUAUAUGUGGUAUUUGACCGAUUUUGACUCUUAGGCUACUUAUAAGCAUUUAAUUAAAGUUGUUAUCAUAUGUUCUAUCAUUCGUUGUCAAGCUUAGUCUUACAUGCCUUAAUUGAAGUUGUUAUUGCAUGUUCUAAUUUUCAUUGUCAAGGUUUUUCUUAUAAGCAUUUAUUUAUAGUUGUUGUUACAUACUAUUCUCUCCAUUGUUGAGUUAUUCUCAUGCAUUUAGUCGUAGUUGUUAUUUCAUGCUAUCUCUUUCAUUGUUAAGCUUAUGUUGUGUACCUUAAUUGGAAGUUGUCAUUUCAUGAUAAUACCUUCAUUGUUGAGUUAUUAAAGUUGUAGUUGUGAAAGCUAUUAACACUUUAUGGUUGAAGUUGUUGAUUAUUGGGAUAUCUUUCCCUGUUGAGUUGUUUCUCAUUCAUUUUGUUCCUUGUUGAGUUGUUUCUCAUUCAUUUUGUUGUUAUUGAUACUUUUUACAUAUUGUAGUUGAGUCGUGGGCUAUGUUAUGGUAAUAUUAGUAUUGUUGAUUUUGACAAUGUUGUGGCAUAUGGGCAUGUGUGGUGCGAGUUGAUUAUUGUGUUGUGAUAUUGAUAUGCAUGCGGGCGUAUAAUGGUGGGUAUUGAAACGCAUGUGGUGAGAUAAGGUGGGAUUUAUACGCAUGUUACUAGUAAGAGAAUUACUUGAAGCCACACGAUAAGGGGCUAAAAUGUGUGUAGCUAUUUCGGGAGAAAUGUUUUUAAAAUAAAUGCAAGGUUCACGCGGUGAUAUAAGAAAAAUUAUGAUUAUGAUUGUGAAUUGUGAUUAUGAGGUGUGGUACUUCGGUUGUGACUCUGAUUGUACAUUCUAUGGUGGAACAACUUGUUGAUUGAACAUUUAUCAUUUUCCUUACAUCAUUUCACUUGUGUUUUGGUUGUAUUUGGUGAUUUGUUGUUAUUCUUGAGUUGGAAUGACCAUGACUUCUUGUGUGAGUCAAGCAUUCUACAUGAUUUGAUGUGUUGCUUUGAUGUAUCAAUUCGUGUAUCUGUUGUUACUGAGUGAGUUGAUUGUCAAGAUGAAUUUACUUGCGUAGAGUCAUUAUCUCAAAUUAUGUUGAGUUGUUGGUAACAUGACGGUUUUAAAUAAAAGGAUUAUUAACAUGCUUUAUUUUAUGUGACUCUUAAGAUAAAACUCGUUAUCUCACUCGGUGCUUUUCUAAUUUUUAAAUGGUUAUCAUAUUUUACUUUAAUUGAUUCUCAGAUUAAACUCAUUACCCUAUAUGAUGUUUUACUUUAAAAAUGUUAUUUUACUUUACCUUAUAGAUUUCUAAACACUCAUUUGAUACUCUAUUUUGUAUAAAUUGUACUUUAUUUUACUUUAUUUGAUUUCUAAAAUAAACUCACUAUUUUAUUUGAGGCUUUACUUUAUUCAAGAUUGUUAUUAUGCCUUAUUAUAUUUAAAUAAAUCUCUCAAAAAAUUUAUUUGGCAUUUGACACGGAUAUAUUGUAUAUGAGCACGUGGGCUUUGCCGUGCGAAGGUGAUUGACAGUGUGGGCACGAGGUGCCAUGUGUGCCAGAUUUGUGAUUGUGGCCUAUGAUUUGCAAUCAGGGGGUGUGGUGCCUCUGAGUGAUUCUUGUUGUAAAUCAUUUGUCGGAACGACUUGAUUCUCUUGACUAGUCAUUUGUUCCUUAAUUGAUGUCAUUCAAACUUUGAUUGUGUUCAUUAAUUUACUUCUUUAUUUCUUGUUUACUUCUUGUUGUCAUUUGCUGCUUCUAUUAUUCCAUUGUUAGCCAUAUAUUCAUGAUCUCCCUGUAGUUAGCUUUAUAUUGAUGCUCCUUCCAUUGUUAGCUUUAUAUUUAUAUGCUCGCACAUGUUAUUGUCUAGUGGGUGUCUUGACUUACCUCGUCACUACUCCACUGAGGUUAGUCUUGAUACUUACUGAGUACCGUUGUGGUGUACUCAUGCUACGCUUCUACAUAUUUUUGUGCAGAUCCAGGUACUUCGGAUCAUGUGGGUUUUGAGAGCGGUGCCUAUGCGGUUGGAGACUUCAAGGUAUACCUGCCGUUUCGUUCGCAGGUCUCGGAGUCACCAUCUUACUUCAAUAUUCUACUGCUAAAUUGGAAUUCAAAACAGUAUUAUUUUUAUGUAUUGUAUUGUGUACUCUCCGUAGAACUUAUGACUCUGUAUUACCGAUUUUUUUGGAUUUUGUGAAAGUUGUAUUAUGGUAUUGGUUGUGCUUUGGGUCAUUUUUCUCAGUUUUAUUUAAUAUUAAAUUGUCUUAUCUUAUCAGAUGUUGUUGUGUGUUAGGCUUACCUAGUCUUUGAGUUUUAAGGCACGAUUUUACAUUUUCAUCAAUUUUCUCAUAAAACCUUCUGGAAGAAGACACAGACUGCACACGCAAAUCGAGAAAGGCUAAACAUAGCUAUUCGGGGUCUCAGAACAUAGAAAUGAAGGCUAAAACUAAAGAUGACAUAUUGAGUCAUCACAUUCUCUACCUCUAAAUCAAACGUUCAUCCUCGAACGGACAUAGAAAAGUACCGGGACUGGUGAAAAGGUGUGGAUAUCUACUCCGCAUGUCCGAUCAGACUCCCACGUGGCUGCCUCGUUCGGUGACCUCUCCAAUGUACUCGAACUGAAGGAUAACUCUUAGACCUCAACUAUCGGACAUGCCGGGCUAGAAUAGCCACCGGCUCCUCCUCACAAGUCAAAUCCUUGUCCAAUUGGACUGAGCUGAAAUCUAAUACAUUUGAAGGAUCACCAUGAUACUUCUGGAGCAUGGACAUAUGGAACACCAGAUGGACAGCUGAUAAACUAGGUGGCAAUGCGAGCCUGUAGGCCACCUCACCUACUCUCUCAAUAAUCUCAAAGGGUACGAUAGACCUAGGACUCAACUUGCCCUUCUUCCCGAACCUCAUCAUACCCUUCAUGGGUGAAACCCGGAGCAAUACCCUCUCUCCAACCAUGAAUGCAACAUCACGAACUCUACGAUCGGCAUAACUCUCCGGCCUAGACUGAGGGUGCGAAGUCGAUCCUGAAUAAUCUUGACCUUAUCCAAGGCAUCCUGUACCAAACUGUACCCAACAACCGAGCUCCCCCCUCCCCCCCGCUCGAACCAUCCAACUGGCGAAUGGCACCGCCUUCCAUAUAAUGCCUCAUAGGGUUCUAUCUAAAUGCUCAACUGGUAGUUGUUGUUGUAGGCAAACUCCGCAAGCGGCAAGAACUAAUCGCAAGAAACCCCAAAAUCCAUAAUGCAAGCACGAAGCAUAUCCUCCAAUAUUUGAAUAGUGCGCUCGGACUUCCCUUUCAUCUGGGGAUGAAAUGUUAUACUCAACUCCACCCCGCAUGCCUAAAUCACGUUGUACAGCCCUCCAGAAGUGCAAAAUGAACUGGUACCUCGAUGAGAAAUGAUAGACAUGGUCACACCGUGAAGACGGACGAUCUCGCAGAUGUAGAUCUCAGCUAACCGCUCUGAAGAAUAGGUAACUGCCACUGGAAUGAAAUGUGCCGACUUGAUCAACCUAUCCACAAUGACCCAUACCGCAUCGAACUUCUUCUGAGUCCGUGGGAGUCCAACAACAAAAUCCAUAGUGAUACGCUCCCACUUCCACUAAGGAAUCUCUAACCUCUAAAGAAAACCACCAGGCCUCUGAUGCUCGUGCUUUACUUGCUGACAAUUUAGACACCGAACUACGUAUGCAGCUAUAUCCUUCUUCAUACUCCUCCACCAAUAAUGCUUCCACAAGUCCUGAUACAUCUUGUCGGCACCCGGAUGAAUAGAAUACCAGGAACUGUGGGCCUCCUCAAAAAUCAACUCCCAAAGCCCAUCCACAUUGGGCACACAAAUACGGCCAUGCAUCCGCAAAACCCCAUCAUCUCCAACAGUAACUUGCUUGACACCACCGUGCCGCACCGUGUCCUUAAGGACAAGCAAAUGAGGAUCAUCAUACUGACGCUCUCUGAUGCGCUCAUACAAGGAUGACCGAGCGACUGUGCAAGCUAGCACACGAAUGGGCUCUGAAAUAUCUAACAUCACGAACUGAUUGGCCAAAGCCUGAACAUCUGUUGCAAGAGGACUCUCACCAACUGGGAUAUAUAUAAGGCUACCCAUACUCACUACCUUUCUGCACAAGGCAUCGGCCACCACAUUGGCCUUCCCGGGGUGAUACAAAAUGGUGAUAUCAUAGUCUUUCAACAGGCUCCAACCACCUACUCUGCCUCAAGUUGAGUUUCUUCUGCCUGAACAAAUACUGUAGACCCCGAUNNNNNNNNNNNNNNNNNNNNNNNNNNNNNNNNNNNNNNNNNNNNNNNNNNNNNNNNNNNNNNNNNNNNNNNNNNNNNNNNNNNNNNNNNNNNNNNNNNNNNNNNNNNNNNNNNNNNNNNNNNNNNNNNNNNNNNNNNNNNNNNNNNNNNNNNNNNNNNNNNNNNNNNNNNNNNNNNNNNNNNNNNNNNNNNNNNNNNNNNNNNNNNNNNNNNNNNNNNNNNNNNNNNNNNNNNNNNNNNNNNNNNNNNNNNNNNNNNNNNNNNNNNNNNNNNNNNNNNNNNNNNNNNNNNNNNNNNNNNNNNNNNNNNNNNNNNNNNNNNNNNNNNNNNNNNNNNNNNNNNNNNNNNNNNNNNNNNNNNNNNNNNNNNNNNNNNNNNNNNNNNNNNNNNNNNNNNNNNNNNNNNNNNNNNNNNNNNNNNNNNNNNNNNNNNNNNNNNNNNNNNNNNNNNNNNNNNNNNNNNNNNNNNNNNNNNNNNNNNNNNNNNNNNNNNNNNNNNNNNNNNNNNNNNNNNNNNNNNNNNNNNNNNNNNNNNNNNNNNNNNNNNNNNNNNNNNNNNNNNNNNNNNNNNNNNNNNNNNNNNNNNNNNNNNNNNNNNNNNNNNNNNNNNNNNNNNNNNNNNNNNNNNNNNNNNNNNNNNNNNNNNNNNNNNNNNNNNNNNNNNNNNNNNNNNNNNNNNNNNNNNNNNNNNNNNNNNNNNNNNNNNNNNNNNNNNNNNNNNNNNNNNNNNNNNNNNNNNNNNNNNNNNNNUAACCCGCCAAACCCAGAAAACUCCGGAUCUUUGUAGCUGAAGUAGGUCUAGGCCAGUUUUGAACUACCUUAAUCUUCUUAGGAUCCACCUUUAUGCCCUUCGCAAAUACAACAUGCCCCAAAAGGCGACCGAGUCUAAUCGAAACUCACACUUUGAAAACUUGGCAUAUAACUGGAUAUCUCUCAGAGUCUGAAGUACAACCCGAAGAUGCUGCUCGUGCUCCCCUCGACUGCGGGAGUAGAUCAAGAUAUCAUCAAUGAAUACAAUCACAAAAGAAUCCAAGUAGGGCUUGAGCUCUCAGUUCAUCAAAUCCAUGAAUGCUACUGGGGAAUUUGUCAAUCCAAAUGACAUCACUAGGAACUCAUAAUGCCUAUACCGAGUUCGAAAAGCCAUUUUAGGGACACUGAAUGCCCUAAUCUUCAACUGAUGGUAGCCGGACCUCAAAUCAAUCCUCGAAAACACUUUGGCACCCUGAAGCUGAUCAAAUAAGUCAUCAAUCCUCGGCAACGGAUACUUCUUCUUGAUUGUGACUUUGUUCAACUGCCGAUAGUUUAUACAUAUCCUCAUCGACCCAUCUUUCUUCUUCACGAACAACACGGGCUCACCCCAGGGCGAGACACUAGAUCUAAUGAAUCUCUUAUCUGGCAAAUCUUGCAACUGCUCCUUCAAUUCCUUCAACUCUAGCGGGGCCAUACGGUAUGGUGAAAUAGAAAUGGGUUGGGUGCCCGGAGCCAAAUUAAUACAAAAGUCAAUAUCUCUAUCGGGUGGCAUCCCUGGCAGAUCUGCAGGAAACACCUCUGGAAACUCACGAACAACUGGUACUGAAUCCAUAGAAGGAACCUUCACACUAGAAUCGCGGACAUAGGCCAAAUUAGCUAGACAUCCCUUCUCGACCAAACAUAGAGCCUUCAUAUAGGAAAUAACUCUACUGGUAGAGUGGCCAGGAGUCCCUCUCCACUCUAAUCGAGGCAACCCCGGUGUGGCUAAGGUCACCAUCUUGGCAUGAUAGUCCAAUAUAGCAUGAUAAGGUGACAGCCAAUCCAUACCCAAGAUAACAUCGAAAUCUACCAUAUCAAGAAGUAGAAGAUCUAAGCUAGUCUCAAGACUGCCAAUGGUAAUCACACACAAGCGAUAGACAUGAUCUACAACAAUGGUGUCUCUCACAGGAGUGGACACAUACAUAGGAGCACUCAAAAAAUCACGAGGCACAACCAGAUAUGAAGCAAAAUAGGAUGACACGUGGGAAUAAGUAGAUCCUGGAUCAAAUAGAACUGAAGCAUCUCUAUGGAAAACUGGAACAAUACCUGUGAUAACAACGUCGGAUGACUCGGCCUCAGGCAUGGCUAGGAAAGUAUAACAUCGGGGUUGGGGCCCACCACUCUGAACCACAUCUCUAGGACGGCCUCUAGCUGGCUGGCCUCCACCUCUAAUGGCCUGACCUCCACCUCUAAUGGUCUUACCUCCACCUCUAGCUGCCUAACCCCUGCCUCUAGUUGGCUGAGUGGGCGGUGGAGCAAGCGGUGCCAAAAUCAUGGCACGAGAACCCUGCUGCUGCACACUGCCCUGUGACCAGGGGCCAAACCUAGCAAUGUGCCUCGGAUUACCACACGUAUAACAAGCCCUCGUCUAUUGUAACUGCUGACCCUGGAACUGGCCCUGUCGACCUGGGUAACCACUCUGAUAACUCUAGAUCGGAGGUGCCCUAAUAGGAGCUAGUGGUGCACUGUAGGCUAGCUGCUCAAGAUGAGAUACAUAAGGACCACGACUCCCCGAAGCACUGUAAGAUGCUUGAAGCGCUGAAUGAAAUGGCCUGGGAGGAUGACAUCUACCAAAAGUACCCCUACCUCCAGAUGAGGCACCACUGAAUUGGAAUGAUGAGGCCUCUUAUCUGACACCGGCCCCCUCUCUUGAGCACGAAACAACUCGAUCCGUCUAGCAAUAUCUACGACCGUCUGGAAAGAAAUAUCACUCCCGGUCUCCUUGGCUAUCUGUAACCUGAGAGUGAAAGUGAGCCCAUCAAUAAAUCUGCUCACUCUCUCUCUCUCUCAGUAGGAAGAAAGAUAGUGGCAUGGCUGAGCUAGGUCCAUAAAUCGAGUCCCGUACUAGGUAUUGGUCAUACCACCUUGCUGAAGACACUCGAACUGCCUGCGUUACUCCUCUCUUAGAGUGACAUGAAUAAACUUCUCUAAAAAUAGUUGUGAGAACUGAUCCCAGGUAAGUGCAGGAGAACCAGUUGGUCUAGUCAACAUAAUCUCUCCACCAUCUCCGGGCGGAACCAGUCAUCUAAAAAGCUGCAAAAUCGACCCCAUUGGUCUCAACUAUACCCAUGUUGCGCAAUACCUCGUGGCAAUGAUCCAGAAAAUUAUAUGGGUCCUCAGAAGAUGCACAACUGAAAUGAAUAAGAAAGAGCUUGGUAAACUUAUCCAACCUCAACAUAUCGACAGAAGACAAAGCGGGCCUAUCACCGGCCUGUGCCGCAACAAUUGGCUGGACUACUCCAACUAGCAGGGCUGCUGGAGUCUGGUACUGGGGAGCCACCUGCUCCAGGUUGUGAUUAGCGGGAGUCUGUGCUCCUCCCCCGCCCCGAGAGAUGGCUGGUUCCACUUGAAAGGUACUGGUCUGGGCCAUACUCUCUAUAAGGCCCACCAAACGGACUAGAGCGUCCUGAAGCAUUGGAGUGGCUAUGAACCCCUCCGGAACCUGAGCUGCUCCGGCAGGAACAGUCUGAGCUGGAACCUCCUCCUUAAAAUCUACCUGAGGCUCCACUGCGGGUGCUGCUGCUCGAGCUCUAGGCUGAGCUUUGCCUCUGCCUCUACCUCUAGCGUGACCUCUGCCCCUAGUCGUAGCUGCCAUAGGGGGCUCCGGCUCCAGUCCGGCUAUAGAUGCAGUGCGUGUUCUCGCCAUCUGCGAGAGAACAAGAAUGGAAGGGUUCAAUCAUUAAUGAUAGAAUAAAAUCGCACGAUAGAGUAAUAAAGAAGUGAUAUUUUUCCUAAACUCCAUAGCCUAUGGAAGAUAAGUACAGACGUCUCCGUACCGAUCCUCUAGACUCUACUAAGCUUGCUCGUGACUCGUGAGACCUAGGCAACCAAGUGCUCUGAUACCAACUUGUCACGACCCAAAAUCCCAACCUCGGGGUCGUGAUGGCGCCUAACAUCCACUUGCUAGACAAGCCGACGUGAGAUAGUUAAAUAGCCAAAUUUUAACAGUUCAACAAGGUAAUAAUAAUUAACGAGAGAUAGGAACUCAAUCUAAUACAACACCAGCAUAAGUCAUGUGAUAAUAGCUACUCCCAAAGAUCUGGAGUCAUGAGUACACGAGUAACUAGAAGUUCUACAAACAGAGUCUGAAAUAAAUACAAUUAUUUCGAAUGAAAUGAACAGUAAAAGAGGGAAGAGGAAGGGGACUCCAAGGUCUGCGGACGCCAGCAGAUCUACCUCAAGUCUCUGAUGCGAUAAUCUAAGCUGUUGCACCUCACGCACCACUAGGACAAAUAUCAAAAUCUACACAAGAAAUGCAGAAGUGUAGUAUGAGUAUAACCGACCCAAUAUACUCCAUAAGUGUCGAGCCUAACCUCGACGAGGUAGUGACGAGGCUAUGAUAGGACACUCACGUAAUUAAACCUGUACAAACAUAGAUAUGUACAAAACAACAACAAAACAGAGAUUUAACAAUGUACAAUUGAGAUGGGACAUGCAAAAGGGGGAAAAGAUACGAUAACUAUGACAGGUAUGACAACACAAGAUAGCCAAAUAAAUCAUCAACCAAUGAAGACAGAUAACAUACAAUUUAAAGAAGGCACGGCAUCACCCUUCAUGUUUUUACUCUCAUCCUUACCAUGAAAUGAUGACAUAAGUAAAAUAAAAUGGCGCGGCAUCAUCCUUCGUGCUUUUACUCUUAAUUUUUUAUGUAUCAAUGAAUAAUUGGGAAGAAUAGCGUGGCAUCACUCUUCGUGCUUUUACUCUCGAUCUCACCAUGUAACAAUGAAUAAAUGAUAUAGAUGGCAUGGCAUCACCCUUCGUGCUUUAAUUCUCUUCCUCACUAUGUAUUAAUUAACAAAUGAGAUAAUGAAAUGGCACGACAUCACCCUUCGUACUUUAACACUCUCCCAUACCAAGUAGUAAAGAUAACAUAAAUUCGGGAGAUAAAUAGUGCGGAGAAUGUACUUUACGUCAAAUAUGAUUCUAAGAUUCCAAACCUCAACUUCCAACAUACUCAACCAUUACCAAUUAAGCAAUAAUUACAGAAGGAAUGAUCAAAUAAGUAAUAAUCAAAUCUAAGUAUGGAUAUCAUAAUAAAAGGGCAACAAAUCACAAGGAAACAAGCUCCCUCCGCAUGCUUUAUCCAAACAACAACGCAUAAAUAUUCGUCACCUCACAUAUAUGAUGUACCCACAUGUUAAUCACGUAGCAAAUAGGCAAACAAGUCUUAAUCCCUCAAGCCAAAGUUAACCAAUACUUACCUCACUCCGCAAUCAAAUUAAAGCUCAACUAGGGCCUUUCCUCUAAAAUCUGCCUCCAAACCAAUCGAAUCUAAUCAAUUAUCAUUCAAACAAUUCAAAAUAAACAUUAGAAACUACCCAUGAGUGAAAAAGGUUCAACCUAUAAUGAUUUUGAAAAAGUCAAUCCCGGACUCGCUUGGUCAAAACUCGAGAUUUGGACCAAAACCCAAUCACACAUUCAACCCCGAGCCCGGUUAUGUAAUUAGUUUCGAAAUCCAACCUCAAGAUCUAAAUCCCAAAUUUACAAAAAUUCGUAAUUCUACCCAAAUCCCUAAUUUCUACCAUGAAAAUUCUAUAUUUGAUGUUGAAAACUUAUGAAAUGUAAUGGGUAAUUGAAAGAAAGUAGAUUAAAGUCACUUACUAGUGAAUUUAGGAAGAAAAUCUCUUGGAAAAAUCGUCUCUAGGGUGUUUAGGGUUGGAAAUUUGAAAGAAAUGAGCUAAUUCCCAUUUUUUUUCUCUUUUACCCAACUGCAAUUAUCUCAAUUGCGACACAGAGUUCGCAAUUACGAUGAUCGCAUCAACUCUUCGCAAAUGCGAAAAAGUCAUUGAGCCUGUUUUCAUCGCAAAUGCAACAAUUUUAUCGCAAAUGCGAACCAAGGCUGUCCGCAAAUGCGAAUAAUAUUUUGCAAAAGCAAAGCAGUACCAAGUCAGUCAGUGGUCGCAAUUGCGACCAACACAUUCGCAAUUGCGAAGAGACAGAGUCCGCAAAUACGAAAAAUUGCUCGCAAAUGCGAACUCUUCCCAACUCAGCCCAUGCUCGCAAAUGCGACUCAUUAUUCGUAAAAGCGAGGCUCGCAUUUGCGAGCCAAAGCUCGCGAAUGCGAGACCUGCAGUCCAUCACCAGAAGCAAACAUGCAUCAACUAUUCUUCUAAGUCCAAAAUUACUCUGUAUCCUAUCCGAAACUCACCCAAACCCCUUGGGCUCCAAACUAAACAUGCACACAAGUCCAAAAAUAUCAUACGAACUCGCUCGCUUGAUCAAAACACCAAAAUAACACCUAGAACUACGAAUCGGAUACCAAAAUGAAUGAAAUUUCUAUUGAAACCUAAGAACAUAAAAUUUUUCAACCGAACACCUGAAUCACGUCAAAUCAACUGUGUUUCGCAUCAAAUUAGGCAGACAAGUCAUAAAUACUGAAACGAACCUAUUCCGAGUUUCGGAACCGAAAUCCGAACCCGGUAGCAGCAAAGUCAAACUACGGUCAAACUUAUAAUUCUUUAAACCUUUAGAUUUCUAGUUUUCAACAAAUUGCGUUAAUUCAAGUUAGGGACUUUCGAAUUCGAUUCCGGGCAUACGCCCAAAUCCCAAAUCACGAUACGGACCCAGCGGGACCGUCAAAAUACUGAUCCGGGUCCGUUUACACAAAACGUCGACCGUAAUUAACUCAAAUGAGUUUUAAGGCACGAUUUCACAUUUUCAUCAAUUUUCUCAUAAAAACCUUCCGGAAGAAGAUGCAGACUGUGCACGCAAAUCAAGAAAGGCUAAACGGAGCUAUUCGGGGUCUCGGAACACAGAAAUGAAGGCUCAAACUGAAGAUGACCUAUCGGGUCAUCACAUUUAUACUUCCUCUCCACGAGAAAUAGUUUUUUUUUCUGCUAUUCUGGGUCAUUAAUUUUUUCGCAAAAGUUGGUCAAGCACCUUGACAACCCGUAGUAAGUACUAAAAAAUAAGUACAUCUAACGCACAAGAAGUUUGACUGAUAGGCUAUUAAUUUCAGCAAACCAUUGAUCUCAUAUUACUGAUUCACUAAUCAGACAAACCUAAGCUUUAAAAUAGGAAAUAUAUUGUGAUAAAAGCUUUAUACAUGAAAAUUUUAUUAAAGUUUGCCAAUUCAUCGUACUAUCUUUUGAAAACUCUACAGCAAUUUCAAAGGUACAAGGCCCUCUACAUAUAAUCAAUUUGUUAACCAGUGCUCUUGUAGUCUUGUUUAAGUUUAUGGCCAACUGAAAAUUUGAGAUUAACAUUGACACCAUUUGAAUACUGUUUGUCACCUACGAAGGCUCAACAGCUACUUGUACAGCAUAAUAAGACAAUUUAUAAUUGCCCUAUAGAGAUACUCCUAGCAAAGAAGUGCAGUUGCCAUAAAAGAUAAGAUACUAGUAUCAUUUUUUAAUUUACUUCAACAUUAUAGUGCAUAUCUUAUGAACAUUGUCUCAUCUAUGUUUAUUUUUGGUCGAAAUGAAAAUAUUUUAUUCAACCAAAUAAGCAGAUAUACACAACUAGCUCAAAUGGACUAUAGAACUAGUUCUCACAAAAAUAACCAAAUCAAAACCUAUAUAGCUAGAUCAUAUUGGAAACCUAUCAAGCUCGCUUUUUCAUUUACAAAAUGCCCUGCUCGACUAAAUGUACUUGAAAUAUUAUUUCCUUAACUCUGUCAGAAUAUACCCUACUCUUCAUAUGAAAUCUCCUGGAGUUCCUUUCAGCCCAAAUGUGGUAGAUGGUAGCAGCAAAGAGGAAUUCCAGAAUGGAAGCUUUAACACCUUUGUGAUUGAUUUGUGUGGAUAACAGCGUAACUUCAUUUUCCCACGUAGAAACUCUUCUGUCUGUUCCUUUCCACCUUAGAAAAUUCUGCCGCAUCUGCUUGCUAUAUGAGCACUCAAAGAACAGGUGAGAAUGAGUUUCCUCAUUAUUUGUCGAACGUAGGACACACUUAAGUGGCACCUGGAUCCCCCACUUUCUCAAUCUGUCAACAAUAAUAACCUAUUUUGCGGUGCCAGCCAUAUGAUGAAAUGAUGCUUUGGAAUAAGACCUUUCACCAUGAUAAGUGUCUUCUAUUUUACCUUCUGGUAUGUGCACAAGAAGGAUAGGUAAACUUUUGUUUAUGCUGAAGGAUCCAUUCACAUUGAACCUAUCAAAUACAGAGUCAUGAAUGAUGUGUUGCAGUGUUUAACCAAUCUCUAACAUCCAAGACUUUUCUCACCAACCAACUUGCUUGCUUUGGUGUAGUAACCUCAGUUCAAUUUCUCCUUUUUAUAUAGAAUGUAUGAAUCCAUUUUACCCAGAGCUUGCUAAUUCCAGAUUGUUGCUUUGUCCAUAACAAGAAGUUCAGGAUGUUUAAGCCUCCUACUGUUCUUAGUUGGCAUAUCUUAUCACAGACUACUAGAGCUUUUCUUGAAUACUCAUUUGAGCAUGUCCAGAGAAAGUUCAUGCACGCACUUGUUACCAUAAACAUGAUCUUUUGUGGAAGCAAAAAGACUUGAGCCCAAUAGGUUUGGAUCUUAAACAAUACACUUUAAUUAAGUUGUAGUCUGCCUCCAUAGGAAACGAAAUCUAAAAGUGAAACACCUGAUUCUAACAAUAAUUUUAUCCACGAAAGAUAAACAUUGACUGACUGUGAGUUUCCUGGAUGAGAGGGGGACCCCUAAGUAGUUUAAUGGCAUCAAUCCCAUAGAAAAGUUUAGUUCUACUGCUAGUUGAUUCUUGAAUUCAUCAGACAUACCAGCAAUUUACAAAGAGCUUUUGUCUAGAUUCAGGCCUGAUGCAACAGAGAAAUGAUCAAAGUAUUUCAACAUUGCCUGCAUGGAUAUUUUAUCAGCCCUGCAAUAGAUAAGCAAAUCACCAGUAAGGCAAAUAUGAACCAGGUUCAUUUUUGCACACUUAGGGUGAUAGUUGAAGUCUGGGUUAAGCCUUAGCUGCUUCAAAGAUCUAUUGAGAUACACCAUUACCAAAACAAAGCGAUAAGGGGACAUAGGGUUACCCUGUCUCAGACUUCUCUUGGCUUCAAAUUUGAUAGUCAAACCCCUUAUUGACUAGGUGAAUAGCUAAUUGUGGUUACAGGUCAUGAUGAGUUUAACAAGCCAGGUAGAAAACCAAUACUCCAAUAAAACCAUUCUCGGGAAAGGCCAUUCGGCAGUAAAAUAAGCUUUUCUGAUAUCCAACUUGAGCAUACAUCUGGGAGAGAUAUUCUUCUGAGUAUAACCUUUGGUCAACUCAUGAGCUAUGAUAACAUUGUCAAGGAUAUUUUUACCCUUAAUGAAAGCUGAUUGAGAUGCUCCAACCAAUUUAUCCACCGCUGUUUUAAGUCUCAAAGUCAAUACUUUGGCUAUCAACCAACAACCAAUAGGUCUAAAGCCCUUUACAUAAGUAGGAUUAGGUACCUUUGGCACUAAGGUGACUGUUGUGCAAUUAAUAGCCUUAAGUAGUUUACUAUUCUGAAUGAACUAGAGUAUAAAUGUGAUAAUGUCCGCUCCGAUUAAUGGCCAGAAUUCCCUGGCAUAUCCCUUAAAUCCCGUAGGAUUUCUUCCCAGCUAACAGGUUUUAGUAGUUGUUGUUGAAUCAAGGUAAGGCAAGGUCCAUCUCAGACUAUAUUCACAUCAAUACAAGGCAGUUCUUGUGCAGCUUCCCAGUAAGAUUUGAAAGAAUUGAAUAAAUUCCUUCUGUAACUGCUCAGGGUCUGUAAUUUUUAGGUUCUACUCGGUAAAGAUGUUGGACACUCUAUUUCUGGCUAGUCUAGCCUUCAAGUAGGCAUGAAAGAAUUUAGAGUUUGCAUCCCCACAGGUGAUCCAUGUAGCUCUGGAUUUCUGUCUUAGUACCUUUUCUUGUAUUGCUUCCCAUUUUUGUAGUUCUAUAAUAAUUUCCUUUUCAUCAUUUAUUAGCUAGGGAUUGAACAGGUUAGCAUUAAGACUAUCCUGCACAUCCUUCAGUUUCACAUGCAUAUUAUUCAAUCUAUUCUCCAGAGAGGAGAAUUCUUUGGUCAUGCCUCUCGUUUGCAUCUCAAUCUCUUUUAGUUUGCUCCAGAUUGCAAACAUAGUAUGACCUGCUUUGGAUUCUCCCAAACUGUGUAUACCUGUUGUUUGAAACUCUUUUGAUUCAGUAGAACCUGUAACAGUCUAAAAGGUUUCUUAGUCCUUUUAGUUGUCACUUUAGUAUCAAGUACAAUGGUAGAAUGGUCUGAGCAUUCAGGGUUCAUAUAUAUAGCUUCAAUACAGCCAAACUUGUGAAACCAUUCUACAUUUCCAAAGACUCAUCAAUAUGGUUGUAUAUUCUUUUAGCAACAUCUCUUAUAUUGCACCAAGAGUAAUCGCAACAUCUUCUAGUAAUUUGGCCUAAACCCAGAUCAUCUAUACAGUUUUGAAAGUAUGUAGUUUCAUUGAUAUGGACAGGAGCCCCAUUCGUUCUAUCUUCCACAGUUAUUAGAGUGUUGCAAUCACCAAGUAUAACCCAACAAUGUAUCGUUUGGGAAGAUGUCAUUUCCACUACUACAUCAACAUCUUGUACUUUCACCCAAUCCACAUUCGACCAUUAGGAGCAUAUUCAUAAUUAGAGCAGAAUUUUCAGUCAACACCAAAGCUCUUUUGUAUCUUUUUAGCAUUGUUAGCCUUUACUCUAGUCUCAAGAAUACCUUAACAUCAACUUUAUUCUCAAGCAAAAAGUUCUCGAGUUCUUUUAUCUUAAAGGGCCUAUUGAGCCCUCUAAUAUAUUCCAGGAGCAGAUGAUCAUGGGGUGGGUUUGCCUUGGGAGGUAACCCUUGACUAAUAUAUCUCUCUGCAUAGCAACAGCACCAGCUUUUCCCUUAUCUGGCUUCUUUGGAGACUUGCCCUCUUGUAUCCUCAAUAGUUCAAAUUGAUUCAUAGCUUUUGGCAAAUCAUAGUUGACCAGAAAGUCUAGUUCAGUGUCAUCCUCCUGGUGAUCAUCACCUUGGAUAACAACCCGCUUCCCAUUUGCUACAACCUGAGUUUGUCCUGGAGAUUCAUGCAUAUCCUUCACCUCAGCCUGAUUGUAGUACACAGAGUCUUGCUGCUUAGUGUCAACUGCUUCUGUCUGUUUAGCUAUCCAUUCAGUUCUAGUAUGCUUCUUCUUUGUAUUUAUUUGCAGGAGGUAUCGUUUCAACUUAAUUAUCCUCUCUUUUGUAUUACCCUGAGAGGUGACCAAAUUGAUGGCAGUCGAAGCAGAGUUUUGGCUUCCAUUCACAGUCAAUGCUCUGCUCCCAAAUGCUACCAUCUGGUCGUUCGAUUAGCAGCACAUCAGGUAGUACUUGGGAUAAAUCUAACUCCACAAAAACUCUUGCAUAUGAUACUCUUUCACUCUAGACAGUCAAUUUAUCUCUGUAAAUUGGUUUGCCUAAGAAGCUUGCAAUCCUUCCUAGGUUUACUUUUGUCCAGUAAUGCAAAGGAAGACCAGGAAGUAUCACCCAGAGGGGAAUAACACGCAUUGGUUCAUUUUGGAUUUGGAAUUUCAGCUCUCGUCUUUCAAAAUCAUAGGUCGGUUAUUGAAUGUGUAUGGCCCAUUCUGCAGAAUCAUGGCCUUAUCCUCCUUUAUAUCAAACCCAAAUAUGAAAUACCCAUCAUCGUGCAGAAAUCGAAGUAGCUACUGAUUUCCAAACCCCAUAUACAAACUUCAACAUUUCUUUAAAAGCAGGGUUGCCACCCAAUACGUAUCCAAUAAGGGCAGAUUCCCAUUUCAGACAUUGUUGUUUAAGUUCUACAGAGUUUAAUUUGACUAUCUUAACACCAUCUCUUACCACAGAGGAAAAAAAAUUUAGUUGCAUACCUUGUUGUUUCGAUCUAUUUCCUUUGACUAUAUCUGCCAUGGUUGGGAAAUCCCCAAGAGAACCAACAGAGAAUUCCAGCUUUCUAGCAGCUGCAUGUGUAUCCCCUCCCUUCUUAGCAACUGGUAUAGCUUCCUCUUCCUCUAUCGGCUUAGUUUUCUAGAUCUCCGGCAGCAGUGGUGCCCUAAAAGCAUUGGCACUCGUACUAGGAAUCCAUUGAGCUAACUGAAGCUGGUUAAGUUCCUGAGGAACUCCCGAUGCUGGCGUAAUUGUUCAAUUGGUGAUAACCGGAGUGACAACAAGUGUUGGUGGUAGGACUGUCUGUCGUUUCUUACACAACAUGGCGGUCGGUGCAUAUUAGCAAGCCCUCGCGUAUCGUGCGCCGAGAGCACAGACUAAUUGAUAAUUUCAAAAGGCAAAUUAGUUCUCAUAUAUGUUUUACUAAUGCAAUACAAGCUCCAUGAACACGAUAAUUCUUGUCAAAAUUGCAUAGAUAAUUCGGCCGACACUACAAUAACAUACUACAAUAAAUAGGACGAAUUGGAAAAAAUGAAAACUGGUCAAGGUAAAAUGUCAAAAUCAAACUAUACAUAAAUACCCAAAAAGAAAAAGGUAGAAUAAUUUUUUCUACUGCAGGCUACAGCUCGGCAAUGUGAUAGCCGGCAGGCGAUGCACAACGACACGUUUUAUAAGCUUGCUUCACGAAUCGGAGAAGCCAGAGGAGUUAAGUACAAAGGCGAGUCGCAUGGAGUCGAAAACGGCGUCGUUUGAAUUUGAUUCUCCAUAGGAUUAUUUGGACAAUCGACCGUCACAGCCAACCCCGGCGACUCUUCGACGGCCAAUUCCGGUAACGGAGACGUCAUUUCAGGCGACUCUUCGUCGAUCUUCAUACACUGCUGCAAGCUCAUACUCUUAUUAGUCUUCUCAGCAGAAGAACACGGCGACUUCUCAGACUCCAAAUCUUCUUUUUCCUCUUCCUUAAUUGUAAAGAGAAAUCUCGAAGGCCCAUACAUGCCCUGAAGCUUCAACAAAUCUAUAAGCUCCAUUUCUGCCGGUUCUGGAGAUGACACGGCGGAGUUCGGACUCGGACACGAGUUGGGUCCGACCCGAGAGAGAUUACUCGGUUGUGUUCUAAGGCAGAAGAAAAGGAGAAGCUCCUUCGAAGUCGAAGAAAGGGAAGAAGUAAACGACGAAUUAGGAGAAGAAGAGGAGAUCUCGGAAGGUUCUAGAACAUUUCUGUGGACAUGAAUCGGAAUGUUACGGCGGAAAUUGCGGCGGCGCCAGAGUAUAAAGAAGAGCUGAGCAAACAGAGCUAAUAAUGAGAUCACAAAUAUUAUCGUUAGAGUUGUUCCCAGUGGGCUUAGAACACCAAAAGUCAUGGCAAUAAACGGUUGUUUUGCCGGUGGGUUGUCGCCGGCGACGGAGGAUAUGUAGGGUUUCUGGAGUAUAGGACUUCAAUUAAAAGUUGCAAGUUUCUAACGGAUAGAUUUCUUGGAAAUUGAGAGAGAGAUGAAUGAAAAAGUUAAAAGGUUGGGAAGAGAGUACGAGAGCUAGGUGACGUGGACCGGCUUUUUUAUACUUUGAAAUAAAUACGUGGAACUUACCUUUUGAUACUUAUCGAACACAAACUCUGAUAUUUUCCUUUUAUUUUUGGCGGAAUACAUAAAAUGCCGCCUAGACUUGUACCCAAAAUCUCAUUUACACACUUGUUAACUAGGAAAAUUUUUUACACACUUAACUUUUCAAAAGUAUAUCUAUUACACACGAUUUUUGUAUUUUACCACUCUUUACAAAUAAGUAUAAUAUCAUGUGCCAAUGGGAUCUUGACACGUAGAUUAACUAAGAAAAUAAAAGAAAACACAUAAAAAAAAAUCAAUUUGCUUCAUCUUCCCA